rnacentral:lncRNA from 1 species
UGAUCUUCCAAAUAUUAGCCAAAGAGGCAUUCAGCAAUUAAAGACUUUUAAAAUAGUUUUCUAAAUGUUUGUUUUUCUUUUUUGACUGUGCAGCAUUGCCCAGGCUGGUCUUGAACUCCUGGGCUCAAGCAAUCUGCUUGCCUCAGCCUCCCUAAGUGCUAGUAUUACAGCACUUACGGAGUGUAAUACUAAAAAAAAAAUAAAUAAAUUUCUGUUUCUCUGGGAUAAAUGCCCAGGAGUAUAGAUGCUAUGUCAUAUGGUCAGGGUAUGUUCAGUUUUUAAACAAAUAGUGAAAUUAUUUUCCAAAGUGCCUGCAUCAGUACAAAAGAAAUAUAGAAAGGUUACCUCCCUUUAUAUCCUUUGACCCUCCUUCAUCUGUAACAUAAUGCCUUAAAUAUUUCCAAUAUAUAUACUGAAAACCAAAUCAGUGCUAUAAUUCUUGCUUCAACCAUCAUACAAUUUAGAAAAUUCAAAAGGAGGGGAAAGUCUAUUGUGUUUACCCAUAUUUUACUCUUUUUAUUGUUCUUUCUUCCUUCCUGAUGUUCCAAAAUUACUUCUUUUAUCAUUUCUUUUCUGUUUAGAGAAAUUCCUUUAGCCAUUCUUUUAGGGUAGGUCUCCUGAAGACAAAUCGUUAAUUUUCCCUUCACUCCUGAAGGAUAUUUCACUGGAUAUGUAACUCUGGGUUUAGAGUUUUUUUCUUGUUUUUUUUUUUUUUUUUUUUUUUUGAGACAAGGUCUCGCUCUGUCACCCAGGCUGGAGUACAGUGGCAUGAGCUUGGCUCACUGCAACCUCCACCUCCUGGGUUCAACCAAUUCUCUUGCCUCAGCCUCCCAAGUAGCUGGGACUAUAGGCGCCCACCACCAAGCCUGGAUAAUUUUUUUUUUUUUGAGAUGGAGUCUCGCUCAACUGCCCAGGCUGGAGUGCAGUGGCGCGACCUUGGCUCACUGCAACCGUCGCCUCCCAGGUUCAAGCGAUUCCCCUGCCUCAGCCUCCCAAGUAGCUAGGAUUAUAGGUGCGUGCCACCACACCUGGCUAAUUUUUGUAUUUUUAGUAGAGACAGGGUUUCCCCAUGUUGGCCAGGCUGGUCUCGAACUCCUGACUUCAGGUGAUCUGCCUGCCUCAGCCUCCAAAAGUGCUGGGAUUACAGGUGUGUGCCACCGUGCCCAGCCUAGAGUUUUUGUCUUUCAGCACUAGAAAAAAUGUUGUAUGUACCCCUUCCUUCUGGCCUUUAUGAUCUCUGAUGGGAAAUCUGCUGUCAUUCAAAUUGCUUAGGUAAGGUCAUUUCUUGCUAAUUUCGAGAUCUUCAUUUUUUGUCUGCAGUGUUCAGAAAUCUGACUGUGAUGUGUCUCUGUGUGAACUUCUUUGAGUUUAUCAUAUUUGAGCUUCAUUCAGCUUUUUCAAUCUGUAGGUUUCUGACUUUUGCCAAAUUUGGGAAAUUUUCAGCCAUGACUUCUUCCUCAAUUUUUUUCAGCCCCACCCUUUCUCAUCUCCUUCUGGGAAUCCUGACACAAAUUUAGAUGGAGUCUUGCUCUGUUGCCCAGGCUGCAGUACACUAGUGCGAUCUUGGAUCACUGCAACCUCCGUCUCCCAGGUUCCAGUGAUUUUCCUGCCUUAGCCUUCCCAGUAGCUGGGAUUACAGGCAUGUGCCACCACGCCCAGCUAAUUUUUGUAUUUUUAGUAGAGACAGGGUUUCACCAUGCUGGCCAGGCUGGUCUUGAAUUCCUGACCUUAAGUGUUUGGCCCACCUUGGCCUCCCAAAGUGCUGGGAUUACAGGCAUGGGCCACCAUGCCUGGUCAGCUAUAAGCAUUUGAUAUAAGUUUUUAUGUGAACCUAAGUUUUCUUUUCUUUUGGUUAUAUAUACAUGAUUGGGACUGCUGGAUCACAUGGCUAAGUAUACAUUUAUCAAAAAAAUGCCAAACUGUUUUCCAAAGCUGUACACUUUUACAUUCCCAUUAACAGUAUAUGAGUCUCAGCUGCUUGGAUCCUUGCCAACACUUGGUAUUGUCAGUUUUAUUUCUUCAUUAAAGCCAUACCUACAGGGGUGCCAUGGUGUCUCACUGUGGUUUUAUCGUGCAUUUCCCUGUGACUAGUGAUGCUGAGAGUCUUUUCAUGUGCUUAUUUGUCAUCCCUAUGUCUUAUUUGGUGAAAUAUCUUUUCAAAUCCUUCACCUUUUUAUUGAGUUGUUUUCUGAUUAUUCAGUUUUAAGAGUUCUUUAUAUAUUCUGCUUAUAAUUUCUUUGUCAGAUAGUUACUUUUUCUCUCAACUUCUACUACUAAUUGGCCAAAGUUUAAGACAUAUUUAAACCGAGACCUGGAAAGUAACUCUGCACUUCCCAUUGUUAUUUAGAUUAUACUCAAGUAUUUUUCAUUUUCCAGGUGGUAAAAUGUGUUUAUUUUUCACCUACUAAUAUUCAUGAUUUCUGGCCGGACGUGAUGGCUCACGCCUGUAAUCCCAGCACUUUGGGAGGCCGAGGCGGGCGGAUCAUGAGGUCAGGAGAUUGAGACCAUCCUGGCUAACAUGGUGAAACCCUGUCUCUACUAAAAAUACAAAAA